rnacentral:rRNA from 1 species
UACGGAAGGUCCGGGCGUUAUCCGGAUUUAUUGGGUUUAAAGGGAGCGCAGGCUGUUUGUCAAGCGUGACGUGAAAUGUGGCGGCUCAACCGCCGAACUGCGUCGCGAACUGGCUGACUUGAGUGCGGACGAGGUAUGCGGAAUUCGUGGUGUAGCGGUGAAAUGCUUAGAUAUCACGAAGAACCCCGAUUGCGAAGGCAGCGUACCAGGCCGUAACUGACGCUAAUGCUCGAAGGUGCGGGUAU